rnacentral:rRNA from 1 species
UACGGAGGAUGCAAGCGUUAUCCGGAAUGAUUGGGCGUAAAGCGUCCGCAGGUGGCUAUGUAAGUCUGCUGUUAAAGAGUCUAGCUCAACUAGAUAAGAGCAGUGGAAACUACAAGGCUAGAGUACGUUCGGGGCAGAGGGAAUUCCUGGUGUAGCGGUGAAAUGCGUAGAGAUCAGGAAGGACACCAGUGGCGAAGGCGCUCUGCUAGGCCGUAACUGACACUGAGGGACGAAAGCUAGGGGAGCAAACAGG